UCCUGUUGGUCUUCCAUCUUCUAUCUUCUUAUUUCUCCCUGCUACUUGUUUGAAAGCUAUAGAUUCUAUUCUUUUGGUGAUUACCACUAAAAUUUUAAAAUAUUUAUUUAUUUGUGGCUGCCCUGGGUCUUCGUUGCUGCACAUGGCUUUUCUCAAGUUGCAGCAAGUGGGGGGCCUACUCUCUGGUUGCAGUUUGUGGGCUUCUCAUUGCAGUGGUUUCUCUUCUUGCAGCUCACAGGCUCUAGAGUGUGGGCUCAGUAGUUGUGGUGCAUGAGCUUAACUGCUCCAUGGCAUAUGGAAUCUUCCCAGACCAGGGACUGAACCCGUGUCUCCAGCAUAGGCAGGCAGAUUCUUUACCACUGAGGUACCAGGGAAGCCUGCUAAAAUGUUUUUAAAGCUAAGUGUAAAGUUGGUCAGUAUUUUAAACUUCUCCCACUAAAUACUUCAUACUGUUAUCUAGAACUUCAGGUUUAUCCUACACAACAAUAAAAAUGCUUCUAACAGUCAUAUUAGACUAUUAGAUACAAGACUAAAAGAUAGACUAUAGACUAAAAAUGUUAAUAUAUUAAUAUUGUCUUUUAUUCCUAUCAACAUAGGUGUUCACUGUUGUCAUCUGGUCCAUACUUUUUCUCUGGGUUAAUUUUUUAAAAAUAUAUCCUCUCUCUCUCUCUCUCUCUCUCUCUCUCUCUCUAUAUAUAUAUAUAUAUAUAUUGUGAUUGGUUAACAUUCUAAAUCUUUGUAAUUAUGGAAAUGUCUAUUUUUGCAUUUUAUAGUUUUGCAGUCUAAAAUCCUAGAUGGAGGUUAAUUUUUCUUGGGUCAUAAAGACAUUACUGUCUCCCCACAACUGUAAUAACGACACAUCCACUGUCAAGUCUAUUGAGUGCUGCUUUGCAUGGAAUCUGCCUUUUAUCUCUGAGGGUUUUAAAGUUUUUGUUACUGCACACAAGUUUGUGUGUUCAAUGCACAGGGAGGCCAAACAAACCAAAAUGUCACAGUUGGAAAAGAGAAAAGUUUAUUGAAGAGGCCAAGCAAAGAAACAGGUAGCUUGUGCCCAAAAAACUCUGAACUC
ensembl:lncRNA